GACGAACGCUGGCGGCGUGCUUAACACAUGCAAGUCGAACGAAGAGCGACGGAAGCUUGCUUCUAUCAAUCUUAGUGGCGAACGGGUAAGUAACGCGUAAUCAACCUGCCCUUCAGAGGGGGACAACAGUUGGAAACGACUGCUAAUACCGCAUACGAUCUAAUCUCGGCAUCGAGGAUGGAUGAAAGGUGGCCUCUACAUGUAAGCUAUCACUGAAGGAGGGGAUUGCGUCUGAUUAGCUAGUUGGAGGGGUAACGGCCCACCAAGGCGAUGAUCAGUAGCCGGUCUGAGAGGAUGAACGGCCACAUUGGGACUGAGACACGGCCCAGACUCCUACGGGAGGCAGCAGUGGGGAAUCUUCCGCAAUGGACGAAAGUCUGACGGAGCAACGCCGCGUGAGUGAUGACGGCCUUCGGGUUGUAAAGCUCUGUUAAUCGGGACGAAAGGCCUUCUUGCGAAUAGUGAGAAGGAUUGACGGUACCGGAAUAGAAAGCCACGGCUAACUACGUG
rnacentral:rRNA from 1 species